GACGAACGCUGGCGGCGUGCUCAACACAUGCAAGUCGAACGGAAAGACCCUGCUUUUGUGGGGUGCUCGAGUGGCGAACGGGUGAGUAACACGUGAGUAACCUGCCCUUGACUUUGGGAUAACUUCAGGAAACUGGGGCUAAUACCGGAUAGGAGCUCCUGCUGCAUGGUGGGGGUUGGAAAGUUUCGGCGGUUGGGGAUGGACUCGCGGCUUAUCAGCUUGUUGGUGGGGUAGUGGCUUACCAAGGCUUUGACGGGUAGCCGGCCUGAGAGGGUGACCGGCCACAUUGGGACUGAGAUACGGCCCAGACUCCUACGGGAGGCAGCAGUGGGGAAUAUUGCACAAUGGGCGGAAGCCUGAUGCAGCAACGCCGCGUGCGGGAUGACGGCCUUCGGGUUGUAAACCGCUUUCGCCUGUGACGAAGCGUGAGUGACGGUAAUGGGUAAAGAAGCACCGGCUAACUACGU
rnacentral:rRNA from 1 species